CUCUGGUCCUGGCACAAACCCAUGCAGUUGUAGGACCCUUUAUUCUUCUGAUCAUUCACAUUUCCUAGACCGUUCUAACAGAAGGAACUGAAUUUUGAAGGGAACAGCAAGUUUUUAUGAUGAGAACAGAACUAUUUGACCGGCAAAGACUGAGUGGAUUAAACCAAAAGACAUAUCUGAAAGUCACCCUUAUCUUAGACCAACGGCCUCAGUGGACAUGGAUUACAA